rnacentral:lncRNA from 1 species
CAUUGUCAACGUCCCUGAACACAUCGAUCUUGGUGCAUGCUGUUUUCAUGAAUGGCCUCCCAAGUAGAAUCGGCAAUGGGGUGACAUUUAGUGAGUCCUCCAUCUCUAAAACGUAGAAAUCCGCUGGAAAUAUCAAGUUAUCCACCUGCACCAAUACAUCCUCCAAAACUGCUUUCGGAUAUGCAUUAGAACGAUCGGCUAAUUGAAUUAUAACACCAUCGUUUUUAAGUUCUCCUAAGUUCAUUGAUGCAUAAAUUGAGUAUGGCAUGACGUUAAUUGAGGCUCCUAGAUCUAACAUAGCAUGUUCAAAUUUGGUAUUGCCUAUAACACAUGGAAUUGUAAAACUUCCCGGAUCUUUGCAUUUAGGAGGUAAUUUCCUUUGUAACACAGCAGAGACAUUUUCACUUACUUGAACCACCUCUUUGUUCGAAAUCCUCUUUCUUGUGGUGCAAAGUUCCUUUAAGAACUUGGCGUACCUCGGGACUUGCUUGAUGGCGUCCAAAAGGGGAAUGUUGACUUGAACUUUUCAAAACGUCUCUAGAAUGUCCUUUUCAGCUUCUUCUUUCUUUGUUUGCUUAAACCUACUAGGAAAGGGGACAUUCAAAGGAAAAUCAUUAGUAGGAAUGGAAUUGGACUCGGUUGUACCUUUAUUUGGCAGAUUGGAUGGCUUAGGA